rnacentral:rRNA from 1 species
GACAGAGGCCUCAAGCGUUAGGCGGAAUCACUGGGCUUAAAGCGUGUGUAGGCGGAUCGUUAAGUGUCUUGUGAAAUCCCACGGCUCACCCGUGGAACGGCUGGGCAUACUGGCGAUCUGGGCCAACUAGGGGCAACUGGAACAAGCGGUGGAGCGGUGAAAUGCGUAGAUAUCGCUUGGAACGCCGAAGGUGAAAACAGGUUGCUGGGGUUGUGCUGACACUGAGACACGAAAGCCAGGGGAGCAAACGGG